GAGUUUGAUCCUGGCUCACAUUGAACGCUGGCGGCAGGCCUAACACAUGCAAGUCGAACGGUAACAGGAAACAGCUUGCUGUUUCGCUGACGAGUGGCGGACGGGUGAGUAAUGUCUGGGAAACUGCCUGAUGGAGGGGGAUAACUACUGGAAACGGUAGCUAAUACCGCAUAACGUCGCAAGACCAAAGAGGGGGACCUUCGGGCCUCUUGCCAUCGGAUGUGCCCAGAUGGGAUUAGCUAGUAGGUGGGGUAACGGCUCACCUAGGCGACGAUCCCUAGCUGGUCUGAGAGGAUGACCAGCCACACUGGAACUGAGACACGGUCCAGACUCCUACGGGAGGCAGCAGUGGGGAAUAUUGCACAAUGGGCGCAAGCCUGAUGCAGCCAUGCCGCGUGUAUGAAGAAGGCCUUCGGGUUGUAAAGUACUUUCAGCGGGGAGGAAGGGAGUAAAGUUAAUACCUUUGCUCAUUGACGUUACCCGCAGAAGAAGCACCGGCUAACUCCGUGCCAGCAGCCGCGGUAAUACGGAGGGUGCAAGCGUUAAUCGGAAUUACUGGGCGUAAAGCGCACGCAGGCGGUUUGUUAAGUCAGAUGUGAAAUCCCCGGGCUCAACCUGGGAACUGCAUCUGAUACUGGCAAGCUUGAGUCUCGUAGAGGGGGGUAGAAUUCCAGGUGUAGCGGUGAAAUGCGUAGA
rnacentral:rRNA from 1 species